GUCUACAUCCAUACCACCCUGGACACACCCGAUCUUGCCUGAUCUUGUAAGGUAAGCAGGUUUGGGCCUGGUUAGUUCCUGGGUGGGAGAAAACA
rnacentral:rRNA from 1 species